rnacentral:snRNA from 1 species
ACUCAGCCGUAACGCGAUACAG